AAAAUAUGAAAAUAAUUGACUAACAUUUUUCUUGGGCUUCUCACAUUUGAACAGAGCUCAAACUUGGGCCAGAUUCCUGAGAAAACCCUUCUCUCUUAUACACAGUUCCCGCGAAAAGCAGCUCAUUCACCGGUUUAUCGCCACUGUUCGAGUCCCCAGUUCCCGCUCUCUCGUCUCCCACAGACAGAAGCAAAACAGAACCUCCGGAAGCAGCAGCAGAAGAAGCCAUGUCACCUGGACCUGUGGUUGAGGCUACAGAGCCCGAGACCGAGCCCCUGGUCCCCACCACCGACGAACCCAGGAAAAAUUCUGAACCUCAGAUGAGGUUUUUGUCGAGGAUGUGAAGGAAGACGAGAAGGACGACGACGAAGACGAUGAGGAUGACGACGGGGAGGAUGAUGAGAAGGAGGAUGGGGAUGAAGGUACCAUAAAUGACACAAACUACAGAGACUCUGUGGCUCCUUUCUUAAAGAUCAUUACUUGGUUGUGUUUGGUUUCAAUAUUCAACUAUUAUUAUUACUUGAAAGUCAGGUUAUCCGUUAUUGGGAUAAUUACAUUUUGCGGCCUCGGACUAACGCUGAUUUGCAUUGUGCACCCUAAACUAUGGAAAAUUGCAAUGUGCAUCCUAAACUAGCAACAGGUUUCAAUGUGCACCCUCCAAUAAGAUCUAACUAUUAACAUGAUGACACGUGGCAUAUUUUUCUUUUAUCUCAACACUCAGAUCUAAAGGUGGGUGUCUGUUGGAGCCUAUUGAUAUCUUAGGGUGCUUAUUGCAAGUUUUCAUGGUAUCAUGUGGGACUGAGUUUUCCUUCAAACUGGGUUAGGGGAAACUUCCUCCAACCCAUGUAUAAAUAUGACGAGUGUCCAUCAAACAUGUGAGUAGCACAUGCUUUUUUAAAAGUUUAUCUUAAAAGUUUGAUGUCCAUUAAUUAAUAAAGGGUAGUGAUAGGCUUACUACCCUAUCACUACCCAUUUACUACUUAUAAGGUAUUAAGAUUUUUUUAUUUUUUUAUUAUUUUCUUUUAAGUAUUUUUUUAUCAUCCUUAGCCAUUAAGAAAAAAUUAACAAAAUAUAUAAUUUUACUAAUAAUUACUUCCUUAACUAUUAAAUAAAAUAAAAAAUUAGAAAACAAAUCAAAUACUAAAUGAGUAGUAAAUAGGUUGUAAAAUAAUAGUAAUCCUAUCAUUUUCAGUUAAUAAAACUUGUGCUUGCCACUUGCUUAAGCGAUGCAUGUCAAUUUUUUAAAUGUUGAGGCAACCAACCCAGUUUGGAGGAACACUUAGGUGCAAGUUACAAAAGGGGUGCUAGUUUGUGGCUGCAAAGUGCAAUUUACCGUAGGGUAUUACGUGGGCAUUGAGUAAAGUAAAUAUUUUCUUUGUUACCCGUCUAGUUUUGAUUGGAGAAUGAGGUGCAAGUGCAAACGAGGGUUCCAAGCAGAGCCGAAGUGAAAACAAGAGUCGCAAGGCAAUGUUGAAGAUGGGUAUGAAACCUGUUAUUGGUGUUAGCAGGGUUACCAUCAAGAGAACAAAAAAUAUACUAUUUUUCAUCUCAAAGCCUGAUGUUUUAAAAAGCCCACAUUCCGAGACAUAUGUCAUAUUUGGGGAGGCUAAGAUAGAGGAUUUGAGCUCUCAGCUGCAGACACAGGCUGCACAGCAGUUCAGAAUGCCAGACAUGGGAUCCAUUAUUGCAAAACCAGACAUUUCUGUUGCUGCUGAAAUGCCGGCAGAUGAGGAAGAAGAGGAGGUGAAGCUCGGGACAUUGAUUUAGUCAUGACACAGGCGAGUGUGUCAAGGAGCAAGGCCGUUAAGGCUCUGAAGACUCAUAAUGGGGACAUUGUGAGUGCUAUUAUGGAGCUCACCACUUCGAUAUCUCCCUAGUCUACUCUGCAGUGGUGGUUUCAGAUGACGAGACAUGGUAUUUAUGUCAUCAUUUAGUUUUUGCAAUCAAUUCAGCUCACAUCUGUCUGGAGGUUUAUUACCUUUCUGUUUUUGUUGGACUUGAGACAGCUUUGGGUCAUAUUAAGGAUGCGUUGUCCUGCUGAGUCUAUAUUCUCGAGUCAUAAGGUUUUCGUUACCGGCUUUUUGUUCCUUACUGCUCAUCUAAGCCUUGAUCCCAACUAGUCGCUGUAUGAAUUCCUUUACAAGAUAUUCUGGCUGGCAAAGCAAGUCUUUCUCUCGUA